UGGCCUAGGUUGGGCACAUGUUAGGAUUGCCUCUUCAAAUCCUUGCCAUGCCAUUUAUGAGCUGAGUGGCCCUGAGCAAGUUAUUUAACCUCUCUGAGCCUUGGAUUCACUCUCUGCAAAAUGGAUAUACAAACAGUACCUGGCCUUAAAAUGUUGAUGAGAGGAAUAAAUGAACCAAAGUGCUUAGUCUGUGAUUCAUGGAUCCACCACCACAAUCAAGAUACUGAAAGGCUCCAACAACAAAACAGUGUUGCCCUAUAACCAUACCCUCAUCCCUCCCAUCCUUAACCUUUGGCAACCUCCAAUUUGUCCUCCUUUUCUAAAAUUGUCGAUUCAAAAUGUUAUAUAAAGUCUAUAGUAUGUAA